GAUUAACGCUGGCGGCGUGCAUAACACAUGCAAGUCGAACGAUGAAACUCAUUAGAUUUCUUCGGAAUGAAAAUGAAUGGAUUAGUGGCGAACGGGUGAGUAACGCGUGAGUAACCUGCCUUACACAAGGGGAUAGCCUCUGGAAACGGAGAAUAAUACCCUAUGAAACCAGACAAUCGCAUGAUAAUCUGGUCAAAAUGUUUAGUGGUGUAAGAUGGACUUGCGUCUGAUUAGCUAGUUGGUGAGAUAAAAGCUCACCAAGGCAACGAUCAGUAGCCGGCUUGAGAGAGUGUACGGCCACAUUGGGACUGAGACACGGCCCAGACUCCUACGGGAGGCAGCAGUGGGGAAUUUUGCACAAUGGGGGAAACCCUGAUGCAGCGACGCCGCGUGAUUGAGAAGGCCUUCGGGUUGUAAAAAUCUUUUGUAUAGGAAGAAAAUGACAGUACUAUACGAAUAAGGUCCGGCUAAGUACGUG
rnacentral:rRNA from 1 species